AUUGAACGCUGGCGGCAGGCCUAACACAUGCAAGUCGAGCGAGCGGCGGACGGGUGAGUAAUGUCUGGGAAACUGCCUGAUGGGGGUGGGUAACUACUGGAAACGGUAGCUAAUACCGCAUACCAUCAGAUGUGCCCAGAUGGGAUUCGCUAGUAGGUGGGGUAACGGCUCACCUAGGCGACGAUCCCUAGCUGGUCUGAGCGGAUGACCCGCCACACGUGAACUGAGACACGGUCCAGACUCCUACGUGAGGCAGCAGUGGGGAAUAUUGCACAAUGGGCGCAAGCCUGAUGCAGCCAUGCCGCGUGUGUGAAGAAGGCCUUCGGGGUGUAAAGCACUUUCAGCGGGGAGGCGUUACCCGCAGAAGAAGCACCGGCUAACUCCGUGCCAGCAGCCGCGGUAAUAC
rnacentral:rRNA from 1 species